UGCGUUUAUUCCUUCUUUUAUUUCAAAUAGAAGUAUAGUUAGGAUAAAUUUUAGAAAAUUUAGAUGCUCAGACGGCAGGAAAUGGCAUUUUUGGGCUUGAAAUUUCAAACAUUUUCUGGGGGAGUUAAUGCCUCCAGACCCCCCUAUUCAUUCGCGGUAUGUCGGCCACACAGGUGACCCACGGCCAUUGCUAUCCCCCUUUAAUAAUAAGUAAUGGAUAAAUUAUUGUUAAUAUUUCUUUUAUUUUUUCUGCAUUUUUUCCUUCUUUUAUUUCAAAUACAAGUAUAAUU